AGAGUUUGAUCCUGGCUCAGAUUGAACGCUGGCGGCAUGCCUUACACAUGCAAGUCGAACGGCAGCACGGGUGCUUGCACCUGGUGGCGAGUGGCGAACGGGUGAGUAACACGUGGGUGAUCUGCCUGCACUUCGGGAUAAGCCUGGGAAACUGGGUCUAAUACCGGAUAGGACCAAGAGAUGCAUGUCUUUUGGUGAAA
rnacentral:rRNA from 1 species